rnacentral:lncRNA from 1 species
UUGAUCGUUUUGCUGAAACUCCAUCACAAAUGAUGAGCCAAUCAUAUGAAAGUUCGCAGUACACACCGCAACAAAUAUUCAUGCACAAUUCUGAGAUCAUGCCUCUGAGGAAAAUUGUCCAACUACCACAGGUACUCCAUGUUUGUUAGAAGUUUUAAUUGAAUCUUGCAUACUUAUUGGAAUUUUACCAACUUAUAACAUUUACAUCUAUCUCAUUAUACACUUCACUUUCAUUUCAUCAUGCCAACAUAUUAUGAGGAUCUGAAUACCAUUCUUCAUAGAAGAAUGCAAAAAACCAUUAUGUAUACAAUUCAUGUCAAAGAUGUAAGUUCAACCUUCAUGGUUUUACCUUUUGUUGAAAUAUUUUUAACCAUAGUUUAUUGAAUUCUCAUGCUUAUAUUUAUGCAUCCUAACAUGUUACAGCCUUAUGGUGAAAUCGAUCCUUUGUGUUUGCACACAAAUACUCUGACGAGUUAGAUGAUCAAUGACAAAUUUAUGGCUGCAAUUACAUGCAUUUGGUUACUUGGAAUUGCGAUGUUAAUCAACCUCGACUAACAACUGGAUGGCAAGAGAUUUGUGAAACUUUUGAGUUGCAGUAUCAUCUUCUUGGUUUAAUCUAUUAUGGUGACAACAUGUUUCAUUUGGUUCUUAAUCUAACUAAGGAAUCAUCAACAAAUGAAUUUCCAUCAUUUCACUCUAUAUCUACAAAACCAAAGCAUCCUUUAACUUUUGAGAUUAUUAUUUCAAAUGACCCUAAUAGCACAAGACAAUUAGUUGAGUAUUAUUCUUAUUAGCUUAACUUGCACAUUAAUUUACAUUCAUUCUUCACUAAACUCAAAUUUUUUUGUUUCAGUUUCUAAACCAACAGCUAGCUGAAUACAUUAUUUCUUAUCAUGAUUACUUGGUGCUUGAAGGACCAGUAGCUAAGCUAAUUAUGUCUCAAAUCAUCAGGUCAAGAGGUCCAAACUAAGUCACAAGGUAUGAAGUAGAUGCUUGGCAACAAUUCUGCCUCGAAAACUGUUUCUCCAAUGGAGAUAUUGUCAAGCUCACUUUCUUUGAUCUUGAAAAGAGUAAUAGAGUUGAUGUUGAUAGGGUUAGUCAGUAAAUCUACGUGUCUUGAUCCAAAAUUUGUUUAGUAAAUGUGUUUUAGUAAUCAAAACAUGUAAUUAAGAUUAUGUGUUUUAUGCAAGUUGGUAGGCUACUUUAGCAUAAUCUUUUUUCAUGUUUAAUGACAAUUCCGUAC